rnacentral:tRNA from 1 species
CACCGGCUGCCCCGCCUGCCGGGCCUGCGCCACGAGCGCGUGGACCUCGCCGACGGGCGGGGUGCGCGGUUCGGUGCCGUGGUCGGGGU